GUACUUGCUUUGGCGGUACAUGUACUAAAAUUGGAUCGAUACAGACAAGAUUAGCAUGGCCCCUAUGCAAGGAUGACACCCAAAAUCGUGAAGUGUUUCACAGUGGC